ensembl:lncRNA
AUCUCGGAUGUCCAAGUUCUCACUCCUUCUGUUGAGGCAUGGAGAGGGGGCCUGGAACAAAGAGAACCGGUUCUGCAGCUGGGUGGACCAGAAGCUGAGUGAAGAUGGGGUGAAGGAGGCCCGGGACUGUGGCAGGCUCUUGAAGGAGCAAGGCUACCAGUUUGACAUGGUGUUCACUUCUUUACUCAGCCGCUCCAUCCAUACGGCAUGGCUGGUGCUUGAGGCUAUGGGGCAGGAGUGGGUUCCUGUAGUCAAAUCUUGGAGACUAAAUGAACGGCACUACGGAGCCCUCAUAGGACUCAACCGGGCCGAGAUGGCUCAGAAACAUGGAGAAGAAAAGGUCAAGUUGUGGAGACGGAGCUAUGAUCUCACUCCACCUCCCAUUGAUGAAUCCCACCCUUACUUCCUGGAGAUCUACAGCGACCGCCGAUACUCCACCUGUGAUGUUCCAAACGACAAACUUCCUAAAUCUGAGAGCCUAAAAGAUGUGCUGGGCAGGCUUUUGCCAUAUUGGAACGGCACUAUAGCCCCAGAGAUAAGGAAAGGCAAGACUGUACUCAUAUCUGCUCAUGGAAACAGCUGCCGGGCGCUGCUGAAACAUCUGGAAGGUAUAUCAAAUGAGGACAUCGCCAAGGUGACCUUACCCACAGGGGUACCAGUGCUGCUGGAGCUGGAUGAGAACCUCCGACCUUUGACACCCCGCCUGCUUUUGGGAGACCAGGCGGAGAUCCAGGCAGCCAUUAAAAAGUGAGAAAAUCGUAACUUUAAGCCAACAUGGAUGACGACUUUGACCGCCGCAUGGAGCUGAGGAGGCAGAGGAGGGAGCAGAUGCGUCUUGAAGCUGACAGGUCUGGUUUCACCAAUGAAGAAGAAGAGGAGGACGCAUUGGAGCAAAGGAGACGAGCAAGGGAGGAAAGGAAGAAGAUGAGAGACUUAGAGGAGUCUGGUGGAACUGAUGUAAACAAUACCAACAGCUUGCCAGAGAUCAACUCCACGGAUAAUGCUGGUGCUGAUGAUGACCAGGCCCUGCUGGAGCGCCUGGCCAAAAGGGAGGAGCGCCGGCAGAAGAGAAUGAAGGAAGCUUUGGAGAGACAGAAAGAACUGGACCCUACAGUUGGCACCCCCAAUGGCACAGACAGCACGCAGGAGGAGCAGUCCUCCUUUACUAACGGCAACUCACAGCAGGAUGCUCAGGAUGCAGAUGGGAAAAAGAAGUCUGUUCAGGAGGAGGUGGCAAAAACAGAUACAAACUCCUGGAGUAGGCAGGAAGAUGAGAAAGUAGAGGAUGGGAAGAAUUCUGAAGAAUCAAGCACAACACUCCCCCACAAUGAGAAGGAUGCUAACAGUACGGCUGAAGCGACAGAGGCGGAGCCUGAACAGCUGAAGUCAGAAACUAAGAAGGCUGAGGAAAAACCUGCACCUGAUGUCGACAACGAGGAGAAAGAAAGGAGCAGGGAAGAAGAAAAGGAAAAACAGCUAAAGGAAAUUGAAGAAAAACUACGGCAAGAAGAGGAGGAGGAGGAGCAGCAAAAAAUAAGAAUGGAAGAACAGCUCAAAAAGGAAGAGGAAGAACGGCAAGAAAGUGAGGAGAAUGAGAGGAAGAGGAGGGAAGAAGAUGAGAGACAACAAAUGGAAAAGGAGGAGAAGCUUAAAGAGGAGAAAGAAGAGAAACAAAGAAAAGAGAUGGAGGAGAGAAUAAAAAAAGAGGAUGAGGAGGAGAGAGAAAGACAAAGAAGAGAAAAUGAAGAAGAACAGAAGAGGGAAAUUGAAAGACUAAAACAGGAGGAAGAGGAAAAAUACAAAAAAGAGAUGGAAGAGAAGAAGAAGAAAGAGGAAGAAGAGGAAAAGCAGAGGAUAGAAAUGGAAGAGAAGAAAAGGGAAGAGGAGGAGAGGCAGAAAAAAGAGCAGGAAGAGAAGAAGAGAAAGGAAGAGGAGGAGAGGCGGAAGAGGGAGAUGGAGGAAAGGAAAAGGAAAGAGGCUGAAGAAAAAAAGAAAAAGGAGGCAGAGGAGAAGAAAAAGAAAGAUGAAGAAGAAAGACAAAAAAGGGAGAUGGAAGACAUAAAAAAGAAAGAGGAAACAGAGAAAAGAAAAAAAGAAUUGGAAGACAAGAAAAAGAAAGAGAUGGCGGAGAAAAAUAAAAAGAGGGAAGUGGAAGAGAUGAAAAAGAAAGAGGAGGUACUGAUAUUCUUUGUGCCGAUCCAUUUGAUUUGUUUGUCACACUUUACGUUUUUUUUCUCUGCACAAAUGUUUGGUUCAGUGCAAAUAUGUUUUUGA